rnacentral:rRNA from 1 species
GUCGAGGGGCAGCACGGGUUUCGGCCUGGUGGCGACCGGCGCAAGGGUGCGUAACGCGUAUGUAACCUGCCUUAUACUGGGGCAUAGCUCUGAGAAAUUGGAAUUAAUACCCCAUAUACUGUUUUUAUCACCUGAUUUAAAUAGGAAAGCUCCGGCGGUAUAAGAUGGACAUGCGUCUGAUUAGUUAGAUGGUGAGGUAACGGCUCACCAUGACUACGAUCAGUAGGGGAUCUGAGAGGAUGAACCCCCACACCGGUACUGAGACACGGACCGGACUCCUACGGGAGGCAGCAGUGAGGAAUAUUGGGCAAUGAGCGAAAGCUUGACCCAGCCACUCCGCGUGCAGGAAGACGGCCUUAUGGGUUGUAAACUGCUUUUUUACAAGAAGAAAAACCUCUACGUGUAGAGAUAUGACGGUAUUGUAAGAAUAAGCAUCGGCUAACUCCGUG